rnacentral:lncRNA from 1 species
GAAGAUGAUAUAUAUGGAAUAAUUAUAUGAUUUAUGGAUUUACUUUUUUAAUCUCGUCUGUUUGUAGGGUUGGUCUUGAGUUUAUAUGUAUGUUAGGUACAUUAACUAGUCCUGCUUACUUGUUUGCUGUGUACUAUGGUUUAUGGAUACUAUUGAUGAUUGUUUCUCUAGGCCUCUUGGAUAUUACUGUUUCCACCCUUUUUCUCUCUUUUCUCUCUGAGUUGCCUCUAGUAGCCUCCUUUUCUCUCUACCCCUUCAUCACAUGUUACAAACUAGUCCUGUUUACUUGUUUACCAUGUACUAUGGUUUAUGGAUACUAUUGAUGAUAAUUUCUCUAGGCCUCUUGGAUAUGACUGUUUCCUCUCUUUUUCCCCCUUUUCCCUCUGAGUUGCCUCUAGUCGCCUCUUUUCUCUCUACACCUUCAUCACAUGUUACAAACUAGGUGUGUAAAAGCAAUCUAUGAAACCAGCAGUAAUAAGUUCACACAAGCUAGGAUUGCAUUCUCCAAUUCUUUUAUAGUAGUCAACUAGCUUAGACACAUGUUUCAGCUGUGUUUAUAUACAGGCUUGACCGAAGUCAAACUGAAUAGUGACCAAGCCAACUUGACUAUAGUCAAAUUGACUAGUGCCUCGUAAAAAUUGCCACAGCUCAUAGAAUGAAGUUAAAUUGGCAUAAUAAUGAGUUUCUGCUUCUUAUCCAAUAAAUAUCAAGCUAACAAGCUCAGCUUAAGUGAAGGAACAGUGGUUGCAAGAACUGCGAAGUUUUGCAAGUGAAAUCCAAGAGAGACAGAACCUCCAACUAUAAACCCUACUAGUCAUUUUCCUUUUCACUUGAGGCUUUAUGCUGUUAAGAAUAUGGGAUGAACACAGUUAUGCAUGCAAGCAUGCAAUAUGAGGACAGAGCAAU